UUUUUGUAAGAUUUUUAUUUUUUCUAUUAUACUUGAUUUACAAUGUUCUGUUUAUUUCUACUGUACAGCAAAGUGACCCAGUCAUGUGUAUAUAUACAUCUUUUUCUCACAUUAUCUUCCAUCAUGUUCUAUCACAAGUGACUAGAUAUACUUCCCUGUGCUAUACAGCAAGAUCUCAUUGCUUUUCCACUCCAGAUGCAAUAGUUUGCAUCUUCUAACCCCAAAUUCCUAGUCCGUUCCACUCCCUCUUAGCAACCACAAGUCUGUUCACCAAGUCCACGAGUUUGUUUCUUUUCUGUAGAUAGGUUCAUUUGUGCCACGUAUUAGAUUCCAGAUAUAAGUGAUAUCCAUGGUAUUUGUUUUUCUCUUUCUGACUUAUUUCAAUACUAUUUUUGAACAGGAUAAGAUCUUCCCAGAACCCCUGAAGGUGCCCUACAGAGAUAAUCACUAUUGUAUCUUUCUAUGUGAUUAAUUUCAUUCUGACCUCAAAUGAUCCUCAAGAGAUUUAUCAAUGCAGUGUGCCUAUUUGUCAAAUUUACAAGUGACAAAUGAGGCUUAAAGGGGAAAGAAGUCUUCCCUUGGUUUAGUUGGUGAUGAUGGACACAAAAGUGACAAAAUACACUUUCCUCACCCAGCUGUAGGGAAAACUGCAAGCAAUUGAUUUGUCUCCAGGUUUCCCAAGGUGAAUAUAACAGAUCAAAUCUUUUAAAGGGGAGUCUAGAAACAAAUGUUGCAGCCUGGUUUCACUGGGGAAAAAUGUAUAUAGAAGUUCUAAAAUAAUUUGAAAGGAGGGAAUAAAGUGAUUCUCUAAUUUAGAAUAUGCAGGUCUUUAAUGUGGAAAAGGAAACAGUAUGCCAAAAGCACAAAGUGGUAGUUUUUAAGGUAGAAGGGAGUUAUUUUACUCCCCAGGGGAUGUUUGGCAUUGUCCGUAUAUAUUUUUGAGUCAGGAAUUGGAUGUCAGAGGUUGCUACUGGAAUUCAGUAGGUAGAGGUAACAGUGAUGUGUAUGACAGCUCAAAUGUCAACACUAUUAAGAUUGAGGAUCUCUGCUUUACAGUUCACCUGAUCCAUUAUUUUUAUCUCAUGAAUGAAUAUGCUGGGCCUGACAGGUAUCAAAUAAUUAUUCAGGGAGUUUCCAUCAUGGAGCAUUGGAAACAAAUCCAACUAGGAACCAUGAGGUUGUGGGUUUGAUCCCAGGACUCACUCAGUGAUUUAAGGAUCUGGCAUUGCCAUGAGCUGUGGUGUAGGUCCCAGAUGUGGCUCAGAUCUGGUGUUGCUGUGGCUGUGGCUGUGAUAUAGGCUGGCAGCUGUUCCUCCAGUUAGACCCCUAGCCUGGAAACAUCCAUAUGCCACUGGUGCGGUCAUAAAAAGCAAAAAAAAUAAUAAAAUAAAAUAAAAUAAUUAUUUAAAGUAUUAUAACUAAUUAGAAAUGUGAUUGAGCCAGAACACAAAGCUUCACUUUCAGGGAUGGCUUUUCCACACUAACAGAGGAUUUUUCUUAUUGUUUGCACAUUUUUCUGAAUUCCAUAAGAAAAGGCUCAUGAAGCCAUGAAAAUGGGGUGGCAUGUUUUCUUGAUGUUUUCCAAUGUUGUUUACAUGGUGUGUAAAAUUGCUUUUCAUGAAACUGAAUACUGUAAAGCAAGAUCCCUUUGGGCAAAACUGGAUACUAGGGCCAUAAAGCAAGUCGAAGGUGUUCUUCUUUCCUUAAAGAGGCUGAACCUCAUUGGGGUGACUGUGGUCAACAUUAUGAGAAUCUGGGUAAUGGAUUCGGGGCUUAGAACUCACAGUCCCAACUAUGAAAGUGUUGUGCUAGUUUGUUAUUUUGGUUACAUAUGCUUAGGCUUGUGUAGCUGCAUCUGCCAUCCUUGUGGUCCAGUCCUCCAUCUGGACAUCUUCAUUAGCUGUUACUUUUACUGGGGGAAUUUUUUCGCCUCAAUACCACUAACAAAUUUAGACAUUUCUUCCUGCCUUCCUUCCUCCUCCACAUAAUCACAGUAACAGAAGGGCUGUUCAGAACCCUGGACCCCUACUUUUAACUUCUUGCCUACUGAUAUACUUUCUUUGGAUCGAACCUGUCCCAUAGCAGUGACAACACUGGAUCCUCGACUGCUAAGCCACCAGGGAACUCCUGGAUUUUAAAAUUUUAAUUAGAAUUAGGUAUUUAUAUUUUUCUAUUAGAUGUUUUAUUUUUAAUGGUGUUAGGCCCUCAGAACUUAUUGUUGUCUUUAUCAAUCACCUAGUAUGUGCCAGAUAAAAUUGUAGGCACUGAGGAUUCAGUGGUGAACAUCAGAGGCAGAUAUCCUGUCCUUCCACUGAAGGAUACAGUAAUCAACAAGACACAUGCUAUAAAAAGAAUAAAGCAGUAGAAAGGGAGAGAAAUUGAAAGCACUUACUCUUUUGAGUGAGGUGGUUCAGAAUGACCUCUUUUAGCUACUCAACUUGGAGAAAAGUGCUUAGGAUGAGGAGAAAGAAAGACAAAACAAAACUUAAAGACUCUGACAUAUCUCUCUAAGGACUUCCCGUGUGGCUCACAACA
rnacentral:lncRNA from 1 species